UGUGUAGGCGGGUCGUUAAGUGUCUUGUGAAAUCCCCCGGCUCAACCGGGGAAUGGCUGGGCAUACUGGCGAUCUUGAGCAGUCUAGGGGCAGAUGGAACAGACGGUGGAGCGGUGAAAUGCGUAGAUAUCGUCUGGAACGCCAAAGGUGAAGACAGUCUGCUGGGGACUUGCUGACGCUGAGACACGAAAGCCAGGGGAGCGAACGGGAUUAGAUACCCCGGUAGUCCUGGCCCUAAACGAUGUCGACUAGAUCGUGGGACCUCUGACGGUUUCACGGUCGAAGCAAAAGUGCUAAGUCGACCGCCUGGGAAGUACGGUCGCAAGGCUAAA
rnacentral:rRNA from 1 species